AACUUCAAGCAUGUUGGGCUCUCCAGGAGGGAGAAGAGGCACCUUUGCCGUGGGUUGAGGACUCCUAGAACCAACCUGAGACUCCGCGGCCAUAUACACCUUACGACGUGUGUGUGUGUGGCGGGAGAUGGGAGGGGAGGAAUCCUGUAGAACCCAGAUCCCAUCAUUCCAGCAACUGCCAGAGCGUUCGAGAAUGUCAUGUCUGUACCUGUCUUCUCUCAUCUUUUGUGCCAACUGUUUUAUCAAACUUCUACCCCACUUUAGGUCUUCCAGAGUACAACACAAAUAUACUGCCCAGGUUCUAAAACAUGUAUAAGAGUUAACAAAAUCAGCUGAGGUUGAGCAGAAAUUGUAUAGGAAAAAAUAGGAAAAACACAGAGACCAAUCUCAGCUGCAAGAAGGUUCAGCUAGACACUGCAAGCAAAAGUAUAACUCCUGAAGAUACAGGAAAAGACCUUAACUGAGGGAUGGUUUCCUGCUGUGUCCUCGGAACCCCAGGGCCUGGUUCAUAGAGACAAGUAAGCAGUGACUGAAGAAAGUUGCAAAUGUGAAGACCUAGAAUUUACCAGUGAAUGACAAUUUGAAUGUGAGAAGCUUAGAAAAAGAGAAGAUGGUGGUCAGCAAGGGAAGAAGAAAAAUAAAAACAUGUGAAAAAA
rnacentral:lncRNA from 1 species